GAUGACAAAGAAAUUGUUCAAAACAAGUUUUAACUUUAUUUAAGAUUACUGUUAAGUAAGUAAUGAAACGACAUGUUGUUGUGUAUCUUUAUGGCAAACGCGUGGGGGGAGGGCUAAGCCCAUUUGGCGUAGUUCCGAGCCCAGAGGGGAGCGUCGACGGAUGAUGAGGAGAAAAACGAUUUUCAUUUAAACAAGUCAACGUUAACUACACAUUUGAGUUAAUCAAUAAAAUCGAUUUAUCGCCCAGCCCUACUUUGGGCAUUUAAUUGUACCGAAACUCCAAAUUCUUUUGCUGGUGUGCUGCAGAAAUCUGACCAGUAGUGCCUUACUCAAAGAACUAGACUUACAUUUAAAUUUGAGUUGUCACUCUUUUGCCUUAGACCUAUGCCUUAGUCACACGAAGGGCCAAUGUGAAACUGAUAAAUAAGUUGUUUAACUAGGCUUUAUCAGGGUCAAGUUCAGUUGACUCUCAGUUUACGUCAGUAAGAUGUUUUUCAGACUUUAUUGUGUGCAUGAGAUAUUAAACUGUUGACAAGGUUAAGUCCCGCCUACUAAGAAGACAUUCAAAGUAAAUGCUAAAUCAUCAGCAAAAAACUGCAUUUGUAUAUACUUUGUGCAAAAUAGCUUAUGUGCACGCCUUCUUCAUUAUUUUGCUUGUGUUGUCUUAUUUGUUUUAUUUAGUUUUCCUGAUGCUGUCCCUGCUCUGAUGUAUGCGGUGCGCUGCAUUGUGUCUGGCUGCUUUGUUGCACUAAGCUGUGCUCUGUGGAGCUCCAAAAGAAUCAGUAUUUACUCAGUAAAGACAUUAUGAACUAAAUCAUCAUAUGCAUGAAUACUGAGAAAAAGAUUAAGCAAUUAUUGUGAAAUGAUUAGAUGAAGUCAGACUUAACUCAUUAUUAUAUUACUUUGACAAUAGCUUUUGUUUUUUUAUUUCAUAGCACUAGCUUAGCCUGCUACGGGCUACAGGACAGGGGAAAAGAAACAGUGACACUAUAAUGAAGUAACAUUUUAUGAUAAUUUAGGUUUCAGUUAUUUAUUAAAUAAUUUCAAGUGAUAUCAUUUUAUGUAUUCUUGUAUUGUUUAGUCAUAAUAAUAUACAUAGUUAUGAAAUUGUAUUCAUUGGUUUGAUGUUGCCCAUUUUGUAGUUCUGUAUCAAACAGCAUGAUGCCCUGCUUAACAUAAUGAUUGAACAAGUAGGGCCAAUUAAUAACACAGUGUUCAUUCAUCUGGUCCUGUCCUUCACUGGCCAAAGAGAAACAUACAGAGUCCAAACAGCCUCACGUCAGCGUCAAUACAGCAAAGCCUCGCUCUACAAAACCUGUGGGAGGAGAGGGAUUAUCAGAAUGGACUGCUCAGAAUAUAAAAUACAAUGAGACCAAAGGUAAUCCCAUUUAUUAAACAUGACUGUUCUUCAGUCAAACUCUUAAACCACAUUUCUCUUAUUUUUGACUGCAUUUUGAAUUGAUGGCAAUCAAGUUCACUAGUUCAGAUUUUA